CCUACGGGUGGCAGCAGUGAGGAAUAUUGGUCAAUGGGCGAGAGCCUGAUCCAGCAAAGCCGCGUGAAGGAUGAAGGAUCUAUGGUUUGUAAACUUCUUUUAUAUGGGAAUAAAGUGAGGAACGUGUUCCUUUUUGUAUGUACCAUAUGAAUACGCAUCGGCUAACUCCGUGCCAGCAGCCGCGGUAAUACGGAGGAUGCGAGCGUUAUCCGGAUUUAUUGGGUUUAAAGGGUGCGUAGGUGGUUAAUUAAGUCAGCGGUGAAAGUUUGUGGCUCAACCAUAAAAUUGCCGUUGAAACUGGUUGACUUGAGUGUAGAUGAGGUAGGCGGAAUGCGUGGUGUAGCGGUGAAAUGCAUAGAUAUCACGCAGAACUCCGAUUGCGAAGGCAGCUUACUAAACUAUAACUGACGCUGAGGCACGAAAGCGUGGGGAGCAAACAGGAUUAGAUACCCUUGUAGUC
rnacentral:rRNA from 1 species